GUGGCGCUCGGCGAUGACGUCAUCACGCUGGACGUUGAUUCAGCGGCGUAUUUAUAGGGCUGGCCUAUACAGAAUUUUGUGUGUAACGUUUGUACACCCUGGGACACGCUUUGGACCUUUGGACAGUCGCUUGAUACCACCAAUAUAGGCUCAAACUUUGAUGUCCAGCACAGGAACCAGUAUACUGGGGACCUGUUAUGUGCGGAUGGUAUCCUAUCUUGUUUCUGUUUUUAAGUGAGCUGUUGUCCCAGUUGGCUGCAAGGUUAAUUAUUAUAGUACAGAUUAUUUGUAACUACACCUGCGACGCCUAACUCAAGCUUGAAACACGUUGUGUCUUGACUUCAGAGUCUGUGCAAGAUUCCUUGUCGGUUGUAUUAUACCGCCUGCUAUACGUUCCCUUUGGAUGCAUCCAUCGUGAGACCAUC